rnacentral:rRNA from 1 species
CCGGGUUGCGGACAGUGUCUGGUGGGUAGUUUGACUGGGGCGGUCUCCUCCUAAAGAGUAACGGAGGAGCACGAAGGUUGGCUAAUCCUGGUCGGACAUCAGGAGGUUAGUGCAAUGGCAUAAGCCAGCUUGACUGCGAGCGUGACGGCGCGAGCAGGUGCGAAAGCAGGUCAUAGUGAUCCGGUGGUUCUGAAUGGAAGGGCCAUCGCUCAACGGAUAAAAGGUACUCCGGGGAUAACAGGCUGAUACCGCCCAAGAGUUCAUAUCGACGGCGGUGUUUGGCACCUCGAUGUCGGCUCAUCACAUCCUGGGGCUGAAGUAGGUCCCAAGGGUAUGGCUGUUCGCCAUUUAAAGUGGUACGCGAGCUGGGUUUAGAACGUCGUGAGACAGUUCGGUCCCUAUCUGCCGUGGGCGCUGGAGAACUGAGGGGGGCUGCUCCUAGUACGAGAGGACCGGAGUGGACGCAUCACUGGUGUUCGGGUUGUCAUGCCAAUGGCACUGCCCGGUAGCUAAAUGCGGAAGAGAUAAGUGCUGAAAGCAUCUAAGCACGAAACUUGCCCCGAGA